rnacentral:rRNA from 1 species
UACGUAGGGUGCAAGCGUUAAUCGGAAUUACUGGGCGUAAAGCGCGCGUAGGCGGACCUGCAAGUCGGGGUGAAAGCCCGAGGCUCAACCUCGGAACUGCCUUCGAUACUGCGGGUCUCGAGUCCGGGAGAGGUGAGUGGAAUUCCUAGUGUAGAGGUGAAAUUCGUAGAUAUUAGGAAGAACACCAGUGGCGAAGGCGGCUCAGCUGGCCCGGUACUGACGGCUGAGGCGACGAAAGCGUGGGGAGCAAACAGG